AAACCCUAACAAGGUUCUCUGCAAAAAAAAAAAUCAUUGGCUGCGGGGAGCUUCGGGGGGAUCGGAAUUCGAUCCUCCGAUGGAUAAUUCCUUGCAGAUUAAGAGAAUCUGACAAUGAACAAAGACAUCUCAGAAAGCCAGUUCCUCAUUUAUCCCGGAAAAUAUGGCUGAAUUCCUGUGGACAUAUGGUUCGCAAGAAGUCUUGAAGAAGGUACUCAAAGUUGCAUCUGAGGAAAUUGGUGUGGCUUUGGGCUUUAAGAAGGAGCGCUCCAAAUUGACAAAAUGGUUACACAAAUCUGAAGUCGUUUUAAGAGAUAUCAACACUAAGAAAUUGCGCCAUGAUUCUGUGAGAAUGUGGGUGGAGGAUCUUUAACAUCUUGUUUACGAGGCCGAUGAUCUGUUGAAUGAGCUUGUUUAUGAAGAUCUUUGACGCAAAGUGGAAACAGAGAAAACAAAGAAAAAGGUUUAUCAGUAGAAACAGAGAAGACAAUUAAAGCUACAUUCUGCCAACUUGCUUUAAUAAUUCCCAUCUUCAGGUAACUUUUAAUUUGACACUUUUUAAUCUUGUAUUUAAUUUUUCUACAAACCACGUUGUUGAUCCAUACGGGAUUCCACGUGCCCCCAUGCUACUUGGGUCAGUUAGUGAUGCUUUCAGCUACUGGACUAGCAGCAGAACACUUGUAUUGCUCUCCCACAACCACGAUACUUGCACUUUUUGCAAGCAAAAAUCCCUCAAAUGAAUAAAAGAAUCCCAUAUAUUUCCUGCUUA